rnacentral:rRNA from 1 species
GACGUAGGAGGCGAGCGUUGUCCGGAUUCAUUGGGCGUAAAGAGCGCGCAGGCGGCUUGGUAAGUCGGAUGUGAAAUCCCGAGGCUCAACCUCGGGUCUGCAUCCGAUACUGCCCGGCUAGAGGUAGGUAGGGGAGAUCGGAAUUCCUGGUGUAGCAGUGAAAUGCGCAGAUAUCAGGAGGAACACCGGUGGCGAAGGCGGUUCUCUGGGCAUUACCUGACGCUGAGGAGCGAAAGUGUGGGGAGCGAACAGG